AACGAACGCUGGCGGCAGGCCUAACACAUGCAAGUCGAACGCUCGUAGCAAUACGAGAGUGGCAGACGGGUGAGUAACACGUGGGAACCUUCCCUAUGGUUCGGAAUAGCUCAGGGAAACUUGGGGUAAUACCGGAUAAGCCCUUCGGGGAAAGAUUUAUCGCCAUUGGAUGGGCCCGCGUCGGAUUAGCUAGUCGGUGAGGUAACGGCUCACCAAGGCAACGAUCCGUAGCUGGUCUGAGAGGAUGAUCAGCCACACUGGGACUGAGACACGGCCCAGACUCCUACGGGAGGCAGCAGUGGGGAAUAUUGGACAAUGGGCGCAAGCCUGAUCCAGCCAUGCCGCGUGAGUGACGAAGGUCUUCGGAUUGUAAAACUCUUUUGGCGGGGACGAUAAUGACGGUACCCGCAGAAUAAGCCCCGGCUAACUUCGUGCCAGCAGCCGCCGU
rnacentral:rRNA from 1 species